rnacentral:sRNA from 1 species
CGACGCGGAUUACGGUGGCGGCC